CAGCAGCCGCGGUAAUACGGAGGGUGCAAGCGUUAAUCGGAAUUACUGGGCGUAAAGCGCACGCAGGCGGUCUGACAAGUCAGAUGUGAAAUCCCCGGGCUUAACCUGGGAACUGCAUUUGAAACUGUCAGGCUGGAGUCUUGUAGAGGGGGGUGGAAUUCCAGGUGUAGCGGUGAAAUGCGUAGAGAUCUGGAGGAAUACCGGUGGCGAAGGCGGCCCCCUGGACAAAGACUGACGCUCAGGUGCGAAAGCGUGGGGAGCAAACAGGAUUAGAUACCCGUGUAGUCCCGUCUCUUAUACA
rnacentral:rRNA from 1 species